CUCGUAGGCGGUUCGUCGCGUCCGGUGUGAAAGUCCAUCGCUUAACGGUGGAUCUGCGCCGGGUACGGGCGGGCUGGAGUGCGGUAGGGGAGACUGGAAUUCCCGGUGUAACGGUGGAAUGUGUAGAUAUCGGGAAGAACACCAAUGGCGAAGGCAGGUCUCCGGGCCGUUACUGACGCUGAGGAGCGAAAGCGUGGGGAGCGAACA
rnacentral:rRNA from 1 species